rnacentral:rRNA from 1 species
UGGGGAUAUUGCACAAUGGGGGAAACCCUGAUGCAGCAACGCCGCGUGAGGGAAGAAGGUCUUCGGAUUGUAAACCUAAGUUGUCAGGGACGAAAGGAAUGACGGUACCUGAAAAGAAAGCUCCGGCUAACUACGUGCCAGCAGCCGCGGUAAUACGUAGGGAGCGAGCGUUGUCCGGAUUUACUGGGUGUAAAGGGUGCGUAGGCGGGUUUGCAAGUCAGGCGUGAAAUACCGAGGCUUAACUUCGGGGCUGCGCUUGAAACUGUAGAUCUUGAGUGAAGUAGAGGCAAGCGGAAUUCCUAGUGUAGCGGUGAAAUGCGUAGAUAUUCGGAGGAACACCAGUGGCGAAGGCGGCUUACUGGGCUCUAACUGACGCUGAGGCACGAAAGUGUGGGUAGCAAACAGGAUUAGAUACCCUGGUAGU